CUUGGUUUAGGUUACCUGCCAGCAAAGUGACCAGACUGAGACGUCCCAUCCUGAACACAACACACAGUCAGCUGGAAAGAGACGAAGACUCAUGCAGACCAGCAACACCGUGUACUUUGCCCUUUCCUCGGGAAGAACGUCCUUGUGCUGAGAGAGAAAGAAGCAGCGUCUUAACAGGCGAGAGCUGCUGGGACGCGUCUGAAGGAGACGCAAAGACAAAGACAAAGAAAUACCUCAAGUCAAAUCCAGAACCCUUUGAGCAGCCCAGCAGCUAGCAUGACCUCUCUUACUCCGACACACAUGCCUUUAUUUUGUCAUGUCCUGGAACAACUGCAGACUUCCCAUUCGGUGGUUCUGACUUUACCAGAAUCAGAUUUGAGGAACAGAAUCCAGCACACAGUGAACCAAGGAGUUGAUGAGCAGCUGAAUCAACACAUUGCUCCACACCAACUCUGUUGUAUCAGCUAAAAGGCCAGGGAGAAAUCUCUCCCGCUGAAAUCUCUCCUGUGUGUGUGUGUGUGUGCGUGGGCGGGUGUGUGUGUGUGUGUGUCUUUUCCACUUCAGAUCUCAUGGUAUGGUACUCUGAGAGUGUUUUUGCCCCCCAUACAUGUUGCUUUUGCUUUCUGUCUCGGCAAGCAAAUUUCAAUUCAAAGACAAGCCGAGAAAAUACAAGAUGCAGUUUUCAAAUGAUGAUUUUUUUUAUCUAAACCAACCUGGACCUGAGUGAAAAAGUAACCCAAUAACCUUUGCAGCAACAACUUCCAUCAAACAUUUGGGGUCAUUUGAAAGGAGACUAUUCAUUAAACCAUAUUUAAGAGUUUGUUUAAGGUUUGAUUUGCAUUUGAUGGUGUUCUUUGGAUUAUUAUUUUUGCUAAAUAACCCAAGUAGGCUUAAACUUAAGAACACAAACUAAUAGUUGGUUGAUAUCCUUCAGGAAUUGAGAGUUAAAUUAAUGCUUCUAUCAUUUACAACAUAUUGUUUAAGUCCCCAAGAGGAAACACAGGCCCAGGCCUCCAUGCUACCACCACCUUGUAUAGCUGUCGAUAUGAUUUUCUUUUCCUAAAGAAAAAAAGUUUCCUAAAAGUUCCGCUCUUGUCUUAGCAGUUUAUAGAAUAUUUCCUCAAAGGUCUUGUGGAACAUUAGAUGCUUUUUGGGAUAUGUGAGACAGGUCUUUGUGCUCGUGGAAUAAUUGUAGUAGGCUGGAAACUUCAAGAUUAUAUCAUUUGUGAAUAAUAACUCUCCCUGCAGAGUAUAAAAAUCUAAGAAUAAUUGAGGAAUGAUUGCAAUAACUUAUAAAUAUAAACACCACUAUCACCGCUACAUCACCACUGUCACCACUAGGGGGCAUCACUCUUCUGUUCCCUUCACAUUUACAAUCUACUCCAUUUCAGUGUGCCUUUUUAUGUAAAUAUGAAACAUUAUUGCAGCAGAGUUCAGAUUUCACAUAUUCAACAUAAUUCACUUUGUUACUGAUGGGCUAUUAGGUUUUUU